rnacentral:rRNA from 1 species
AAUAGAUACCCUGGUAGUCCACGCCGUAAACGUUGGGCGCUAGAUGUGGGGACCAUUCCACGGUUUCCGCGUCGUAGCUAACGCAUUAAGCGCCCCCGCCUGGGGAGUACGGCCGCAAGGCUAAAACUCAAAGGAAUUGACGGGGGGCCCGCACAAGCGGCGGAGCAUGCGGAUUAAUUCGAUGCAACGCGAAGAACCUUACCAAGGCUUGACAUAUGCGAGAACGCUCUAGAAAUAGAGAACUCUUUGGACACUCGUAUACAGGUGGUGCAUGGUUGUCGUCAGCUCGUGUCGUGAGAUGUUGGGUUAAGUCCCGCAACGAGCGCAACCCUCGUCGCAUGUUGCCAGCACGUAAUGGUGGGAACUCAUGUGAGACUGCCGGGGUCAACUCGGAGGAAGGUGGGGAUGACGUCAAAUCAUCAUGCCCCUUAUGUCUUGGGCUUCACGCAUGCUACAAUGGCCGGUACAAAGGGCUGCGAAACCGCAAGGUGGAGCGAAUCCCAAAAAGCCGGUCUCAGUUCGGA